AGUGAACGCUGGCGGUAGGCCUAACACAUGCAAGUCGAACGGCAGCACAGGAGAGCUUGCUCUCUGGGUGGCGAGUGGCGGACGGGUGAGGAAUACAUCGGAAUCUACCUUUUCGUGGGGGGUAACGUAGGGAAACUUACGCUAAUACCGCAUACGACCUACGGGUGAAAGUGGGGGACCGCAAGGCCUCACGCGAUUAGAUGAGCCGAUGUCCGAUUAGCUAGUUGGCGGGGUAAUGGCCCACCAAGGCGACGAUCGGUAGCUGGUCUGAGAGGAUGAUCAGCCAAACUGGAACUGAGACACGGUCCAGACUCCUACGGGAGGAAGCAGUGGGGAAUAUUGGACAAUGGGCGCAAGCCUGAUCCAGCCAUACCGCGUGGGUGAAGAAGGCCUUCGGGUUGUAAAGCCCUUUUGUUGGGAAAGAAAUCCUGUCGAUUAAUACUCGGUGGGGAUGACGGUACCCAAAGAAUAAGCGCCGGCUAACUUCGUGCCAGCCGCCGCGGUAAAAC
rnacentral:rRNA from 1 species